AUUGAACGCUGGCGGCAUGCCUUACACAUGCAAGUCGAACGGUAACGCGGGGCAACCUGGCGACGAGUGGCGAACGGGUGAGUAAUACAUCGGAACGUGCCCAGUAGUGGGGGAUAGCCCGGCGAAAGCCGGAUUAAUACCGCAUACGACCUACGGGUGAAAGCGGGGGAUCGCAAGACCUCGCGCUAUUGGAGCGGCCGAUGUCAGAUUAGGUAGUUGGUGGGGUAAAGGCCUACCAAGCCUACGAUCUGUAGCUGGUCUGAGAGGACGACCAGCCACACUGGGACUGAGACACGGCCCAGACUCCUACGGGAGGCAGCAGUGGGGAAUUUUGGACAAUGGGCGCAAGCCUGAUCCAGCCAUGCCGCGUGCGGGAAGAAGGCCUCGGUUGUAACCGCUUUGUCAGGAAGAAACGACUCUGGGCGUAAUACCCU
rnacentral:rRNA from 1 species